rnacentral:rRNA from 1 species
GCAUAUCAAUAAGCGGAGGAAAAGAAACCAACAGGGAUUGCCUCAGUAACGGCGAGUGAAGCGGCAACAGCUCAAAUUUGAAAUCUGGCUCCUUCGGGGCCCGAGUUGUAAUUUGCAGAGGAUGCGUCGGGUACGGGUGCCUUCCGAGUUCCCUGGAACGGGACGCCAUAGAGGGUGAGAGCCCCGUCUGGUAGGACACCCAGCCCGUGUGACGCUCCCUCGACGAGUCGAGUAGUUUGGGAAUGCUGCUCUAACGGGAGGUAUACUCCUUCCAAGGCUAAAUACCGGCUGGAGACCGAUAGCGCACAAGUAGAGUGAUCGAAAGAUGAAAAGCACUUUGAAAAGAGAGUCAAACAGCACGUGAAAUUGUUAAAAGGGAAGCGCUCGCUACCAGACUUGGGUUCGGCGGUUCAACCGGGGCCACGCCCCGGGGCAUUCCGCCGGCCCAGGCCAGCAUCAGCUUUCCGUCGGGGGUAAAGGCGUCGGGAAUGUGGCUCCCCUUCGGGGGAGUGUUAUAGCCCGUCGUGUCAUACCCUUCGGGGGGCUGAGGUACGCGCUUCUGCAAGGAUGCUGGCGUAAUGGUAGCUAGUGACCCGUCUUGAAACACGGACCAAGGAGUCAACCUUAUGUGCGAGUGCCCGGGCGUAAAACCCCAGCGCGGAAUGAAAGUGAACGUAGGUGAGAGCUUCGGCGCAUCACCGACCGAUCCUGAUGUCCUCGGACGGAUUUGAGUGAGAGCAUAUAGGGUUGGGACCCGAAAGAAGAUGAACUAUGCGUGUGUAGGGUGAAGCCAGAGGAAACUCUGGUGGAGGCUCGCAGCGGUUCUGACGUGCAAAUCGAUCGUCAAACAUGCGCAUGGGGGCGAAAGACUAAUCGAAUCUUCUGGUAGCUGGUUUCCGCGA